AGGCCAGCUUCAGUCUUAAUGAAGUGGGUCAGGAAGGAAGUGCUGAGAGAGAUGGGUGCCUGGUGCAGUCAGUGGGUGGGAGCUAAUGGCAGCAAGAAGAUCGGAGCCUUCUGAGAGGCAGCCUGAUUCCUGGGAAAGAGCAUUGGCUAGAAGUCUGAAGGCCUGGGCUAGUUUUACUCUGUUAUUAAAUUGCUGCUGGACCCUGGCUUUGCCAGAAGGGUAGAGAGACACUGAUGAACACUGGCCGUCUCAGCAUCCAACUCAGCACCUGGGCCACAGUAAGCACGCUGUGAAUGUUGAUUUGAGCAAGUGAACUGAUUGAAGGAAAAAUCUCCAGGAAAUGCAUCUUACAAUCUCACCAACAAGUGCAGCAUCUGGAUGGAAGCAGGAGAUAUCAAGCCAUCUCAGGUUGUCUGCUGCAGACUUGUGUGGAGAAUCCCACAAGGUGAAACCAGAAUCCUCAAGGCCAAUACUUUACCAACUGAGCUAUCAGGGAAGUCCGCCUGGCUUUGAAGAAGCUGAAUAACACAAUUUACUAUGCAUUUACUAUUCAGAAAACUAACAUCAUGGCAUCCGAUCCCAUCACUUCAUGGCAAAUAGAUGGGGAAACAGUGGAAAUAGUGGCUGACCUUAUUUUUCUGGGCUCCA